CAUAUUGAAACAGCGGUUCUCGCCUGAUCACUAAAGUUAAGCAACGUCAAGACUGGUCAGUACCUAGUUAGGUGACCGCUUGGGAAUACCAGGUGCU